rnacentral:rRNA from 1 species
UACGUAGGGGGCAAGCGUUGUCCGGAUUUAUUGGGCGUAAAGCGCGCGCAGGCGGUCCUUUAAGUCUGAUGUGAAAGCCCACGGCUCAACCGUGGAAGGUCAUUGGAAACUGGGGGACUUGAGUGCAGAAGAGGAAAGUGGAAUUCCAAGUGUAGCGGUGAAAUGCGUAGAGAUUUGGAGGAACACCAGUGGCGAAGGCGACUUUCUGGUCUGUAACUGACGCUGAGGCGCGAAAGCGUGGGGAGCAAACAGG